rnacentral:tRNA from 1 species
GCCGGGGUAGCUCAGCUGGGAGAGAACAGACUGAAGUUCUGGAGGUCCCGUGUUCAAUCCACGGUCCUGGCA